UUAUAUGUAUAUAUACACACACACACAUAUAUUUAUAAUGAAAUACCCAUAAAUCUACCAUUUAACCCAUUAACUAAAACAUUACCAAUAGCAUCCGCCUGUUCUUCCCCAUCCCAUCCCCAAUCUCUCUUCAAGGUUACUACUAAUGAAUUUUGUGUUUAUCAUUUCUCUGCUUUUUAAAAUGUUUUGUCAUAUAUACCUAAACAAUGUAUUGUUUAAUUUUGCUUGUUUUUUUGAAAUUUACAAAAAUCGUUUCAAAUGUUUGUAGUGUUCCGGGACUUCUUUUUUCCUUCAAUAUUAUGUUCCUAAGAUUUAUCCACGCCAAGUAUGUACUUUGAAGUCAUCUUCUUCAUGCAGCCUUUUCAAAUCACAAGAGCACAAGGUGAUCUUCCCCGCUUUAAAUGCCUCCAGCACUCAUUGUCUAUUAAAGAAUGGGCUGAAAGUGUACCUUCACUUUUCCUAUAUCUUAAGUGUCAUCACCUCAACCAGACAUAAUAAGCUCCUUGGAGAGCAGGGAGGCAGCUCAUCACGGUGAAGAGCACUGAGUGGGGAGCUGGGCGGCCUGGGUUCCAGUCCCGGCUCCACCCUCGCAGCGUCCUCGGCCUCCUGCCUUCGCCUUCCUGAGCCUCUGAUUUUUACUUGAACCUACUUGGAGGAGGUUUUGUGAGGAACUCCUAAGAUAAUGGAUAUAAUGCUUGGUAAACUGCGAAGCGUUGUCCUCAAAGUAAGAUUCUCGUUACUGUUGGCCCACAGCUCCCAGAGGGGUCUCUGCACAAAGAUCCAGGCCAACGGCUCUCUGGUUGUGCUGGGGGACGCUCGUGUCGUCCCCGAGGGCCGGGACAGAGAUUCUUGCUUUCUUCCGGAUCCUCAAGGCAGUGCCAGGUCCGACGUAGCAUCGACAGAGGCUGUAGGUCUGGGAAAAGCGCCAUGAGGCCAGAGGGCGCUGUCUCUCCCUCAGGUUGGAGAGGGACGGAGAGGCGCUGAGAUUCACGCAUGCGCCCCUCCUCCUAGAGGGCCCGGCGAGACCCAGCCAAAAUUGGUCCGCUCCGCUGGGCUUUUUUCCCCCAUACAGGGGCUGAAUCUUUUGUGUACGCAUGCGUCUUGCCCAGGCUGCGGUUGGCUGACGACUCCAGCCGUCAUUGGAAGAACCAAUGGGGCCUUCAAGUACCUUUCUGAGACAGAGGGGAAUCCUGGUAAAUGGCAGGGGAAUGGGGCACCCGAAGCAAAUUACUGUGACUACCACUCCACCUUCUGCCAAGUGCCCGAGUCUCCUGAAGCCUGUCAGCACGUAAACUAAGCAGCAGCAGGGGUUCGAGAAGUGUCUGCAAGAACAGAGGCGCAGCGAGGGGAACGAGCCUGCAGCACAGCUGGCCAAGGUGCUGGCAAGUUUCCCCAUGAGGUGGCGCUCAUUAUUUUCUAAAAUUUCUGUCUUAAUGAAGAAACUGUGAUGUUUGCACUGUCACAGAACAAACAGAACCAUGAGACGUUUCACAAUUUACACAGCACUGUUAUGUUUCAUGUUGCAUCCUGUUUGGGAGAGAUUAGAAAAUGUCUUCCCUGAGGAACACAGGGCAGGGGACCGGGCUGCGGUGCUGAGGGCAUGAGCAGGCCUCCAGUCACCCCAACCCGCUCCCACCACGCUCUGACUCAAGGGUCAUCCGCCCCACCUCUGUCUUUAUGCAAGGAGGACAGCAAUGUCUGUGCAACAGAACAAUCAGGUGAAGGGCACGAGCGAUGAGGUCAAACUUCCUGGCUACCCCACUUACAGGUCAUGUGACCGUGGGCGAGCUGCUUACUCUGUGUCUAUAAACUGGGGGCAAUAAUCCUGCCUGCAUCCCACAGCUGUUGUGAGGACUGAGUGAGUUAAUACACAUGAAGCAUGUAGAACAGUGUCUGGCACACAGUUAAUAUCCAAAAGAUCUGGUCUCCUAACAACGUUAGCCAGGAGUUUUGAGAUGCUUCUAUUUAAAAGCGGAGCAAGGGCAGAAAGGGGCCCCUAGGACCAGCUAUUUCCAACCCUCAUUUUACAAACAAGGAAGCCAAGCCCAGAACAGCGGUGCCUUGCCGACAUCCCUCAGCGAGCCAAUGGUAGAGACUCAGCUCUCAGGCCCGCACUUCGCACCGCACUCCAGCCCUAUCUACCUGGAGGCCUGCCCCACUGGGGCCAGCAGAAACAUGGCCCACACGCCACCUGGCAGCCCAUUCGGUCUGCCCCUAGAGUGACCACAGCCAGAACUCUGCUGCCAGUGUCAAGAAGGAGCCAGGGCUGUCCCUUACCCAAGACAUUACCAUAGCCAGGUCACCCCGAGCAGGAACUUGAACUGGGGCCAAGGACUGUAAACAGUGAACAACUUAACACUCACGUGUUCAAUGGGGUUUUGUUUAUAUACCUAGGGUCACCCGAAAACACCUGCUGUUUAAACCGAGGGCUGCUUAACUACUCCUGCAGCAAGAGGAACUGAAGCCCCCAUUUCUGAGACGACGUGAGAAAGCCCGCACACUUCCCAGUGGGGCUCCCAGGGCAGGCCCAGCAUCAGAAUCUGCUUUCAGACCACAGUGACAGUCUAAAGUCUAGCCUCGCUGAACACCUGUCCCAGGUUCACUGACCCCUCUAUCCUCCCUCCUGCUUCACAAAGAUGGGGGGGACCUGAGAAGACGGCAGAAGACCACUGCCAUGGAAUUCCUAAAUAAACAAGAGCUCCCCAAAAGUGGUCUGUGCUGCUCUCUGCCAACCACCCUUGUCUGCUCUCUCGAGACAGCUUUUCUAGGUGGGCCCCAGGGCCCCAGCUGGCAGGGCUGGGAGAGCCUCAGAGACCUCCUGUCCACCCUGCCCCUUACACCUGAGGAGAGUGGCCAUGUGAAGAGGUUCUCUCUGAGGAUAAGAUAGCCUGGGAGUGGGUGCACGCAUGGGAGCAUGUACAAGGGACAAGGGGCUAUACAGACACUUGGGUGGCAAAAUCUAGACACAGA